rnacentral:tRNA from 1 species
GGCAAGGUGGCCGAGUGGUCUAAGGCGCAAGACUCAAGUCCGAUUCGUCCAACGGGCUUGGACUGCUAUUAUCCAAAAGCAGUCCCUGGAUUCUUGUGGGGGAAACUCCGCGCGCGUUCGAAUCGCGCCCUUGUCA